AUAAACGGUGAUGUUAUUGCAACCCGACGCUCAGUGUUGAUUAAUUAGACCUAAAACGACAAAAAUACACUCCAACGUUCAUAUUUCUACUUUAAUUUCAAGGCCACAGCCACAAGCUCCCCAUUAGCUUAGCUUGGCAGCCACCUAGCCUAGCUUAGCUAAGCAGCCACUUAGUUUAGCUUAUGCCUAAAUUGUUUUACAUGCUCGAACCAAACCAUUUGUUUUAACUGAUUGAAAUAGCUGUGUUUGUAUCCCAGUUUACAUAAAAAAAAUAAAUAAAAUAACUACUCCUGCCAUUCCAAAAGCCCCCUACAAAUAUCUAAUCUCCUGGCUUUACAAGUAAAUUAAAAAUUUAAUUCAAUUCAGUGCAGUUUUAUUCAAGUAACACCUAUUCACAACAUUUACACAGCAUUUACAGCAUAAACCUGGUUGAUUUAACUCGAUUUUAAACCUAUGGAAGGCCAAAUGCAGGUUUUAGUACAGACAAACCUGAUGAAGGUCUAGUACCGAAACGUCACUACUACAAUAAAGGAUAUAUUGCAAGUUGGACAGUGUGCGGGGGCCUCUUUUUGCAAUCCUCGAAGUACAGCCAUGGCCAUAAGUUUGGACACAAGUACCAUGACGCUUGUGAAUCUUAGAAAAUACCACAAAAUUGUCACUUACAAUACAGUACACAACUCCUGAGAACUAUAUUAAGUUUCAUAUUUAAAAAAAAUAUCAAAAGAGUUUGGUGUCAUUUUGUUAUUCUUACCAAAUUCGGUUGAGAAAGUACUGCAUUUUUUUGUUAUUUUCUUCUAAUAUUAUGUUUUGGGAACAAAGUUGUUCCAAUUGUUGGAAUUUAUUGAUAAUAUUAUAUCCCUUGUUGAUUUGUUGACUAAUUAAACUGGUGCUGUCAAAAAAUAUUAGUUAUGUUCUGUAAUAGACAUCAAAACAGACAUAGUAAGUCAUGCUGUGUCCAAACUUAUGGCCAUGGCUGUAGCUGACUACUUUGUGUUUAGUUCUGCUGUCUGCAUUGGCAGCAUUAUACUGGAGCGUUAAUUAAAAAUUUAACCCUCACACAAAGGUUCAGUGAUGUCUAAUCCGAAUUGAUAAUCGUAAUUAGGAAGGUAAUUUGUCAGAGGAUAUAAUAUUGUAGGGACUGUAAUAUUCAAAUUAGUCAAUUAAAUUUGCAGAAAUAAUACACCUUAUUGUUUAAUUUAAUAAGGUUUAAUUAGUUGGCUAAAUCUGCAUAAUUAAUAAUAUUUUCUUAACCUUAUUGUUGCUAGGUAACCUUUUUUCCCCAUUGGAGAACACUUAGGCUCAAGAACUGUUGUUUUAAAAUUUGCUGUAUAAAUAAUGGGACUUGCCUUCUGGGUGUCCAGCAUUGUCUGAGUGAACACAAAAGGCUUUGUAAAACCACACAUCCCAGCCUUUUACAAAUUAAAAUGUUUGUGAACAUUGAUUUGGCAGGUGAAUACACACCUGUACAAACAUCUUGACUUUUCAGAGCAUUAGAGUUCUCUGUCAGCUUCAGAUUUUAGACACGAACUAAUUUAUCUGAUUCAAAAACAUAACUGUCUGCAAAAUAGUGAAAUGAUCUCCACCAGCUAAACUGUGUGUCGAAUUAAAAUGCUGUUUCCAUUUGUGUGAGGACGACUCCUACUUUCCAGAGCUUAGCUGUAAUACUUGAGUAAUUUCACUCCCCUAAACUGACCACGGUUUAAACAGCAACGUGAGCACCAGCCGCUUCCACAGCUGAUGUCUCAGUGAUUCUGCUUCAAGGUGUUGUUGUGGACAAGUCAAGUAAAGAGUCUUUAUUGUCAUUAUUAGUUUUCAUCAGUCACAUAAUGAAAUUUUGUUGCUAAUACUGGCUUAAAAGUCAACAUUAAAAGACGUGGACAGUGAAACAUCCAUCCAUUCUCUAUACACCGCUUAAUCCUCAUUAUGGUUGCGGAGGGGCUGGAGUCUAUCCCAGCUGACUUGGGGUGAAGGCAGGCGACACCCGGGACAGGUCACUAGUCUGUCACGGGGCUACAUCUAGAGACAUAAAAUCACACUCACAUUCACACCUAUGGGUAAUUUAGAAUAAUUAAUUAACCUCAGCAUAUUUUUGGACUGUGGGAGGAAGCCGGAGUACCUGGACAAAACCUACGCAUGCACAAGGAGAACAUGCAAACUCCAUGCAGAAAGAUCCUGGGAAGGCUGGAAUCUUCUAGCUGCAAGGUGAAAGUGCUAACCAGCACACAAAAAUAGUAAAAAUACAUUACAAGUAAGAAAAAAUAUAUACAUGUAGCUGGCUGAUUAAAGUUCAUCAGUGCAAGGUGCAGUGUCAGUUCCAUGUCGUCUCAAGCUUUUUAAAGUGAGUGUGCAUGAGGUUGUAUAGAGUUUGCAGCUCUGGGGAAAAAGCUUAUCCUCAAUCUGGUGGUUUGAGUUCUUAUUGACCUGUACCUUCUUUCUAAGGACAGAGGCACAAACAGCUUGUUACCAGGGUGGGUUGAGACUGCAACUAUGCUGCCAGCUUUUCUCUGGAGGCGACCAGCAUAGACAGAGUCCAGCUUUGGCAGAGGGGAUCCCACAAUCCCAUGAACUGUGUUUACCACCCUGGCCAAGUCCUUCCUGUCCUGUCCUGUGCAGCUGCCACACCAAUCACCAUAUCUAGACAAAGAAUGCCUGUCUGAGCCUCCUGAGGAAAUAAAGUCUUUGCUGGGCUUUUUAAAAAAAAAUUUAUUUACCAGGUUAGAGGUGUUGAGGGUCCAUGUGAGGUCAGUGGUGAUGUGGAUGCCCAGGAACUUGAUGUUAUCAACUUGCUCUACAUCCUCUCCGUGUAUGAGGAGAGGAGCAUGGGCCCUCUUUCUAGAUCUCCUGUAGUCCACAAUGACCUCCUUGGUUUUCCUAGUAUUCAGGUCCAGUUUGUUGUCUCGGUCAGGUGCUGGACCUCCUCCCUGCCGUGAGUCUCAUCAUUGUCUGAUAGAAGACCCACCACGGUUGUGUCAUCUGCAAACUUCACAAUGGUACAGUAUUUGACGUCUGGAUGGCAGUGCAGUCAUGUGUGAACAGCAGGCGGCGCCGUUGUUUAAAGAAUGACAUUUGAACACCUUCUGGAGCCCCCUCUUACUUCUUUCUUAGUACUUAAACAGUGUUUGUGUGUCUGUGUGCAGACUGUGGCUCUUCAUUUCAUGCCUGAACUUUAUCUGAAUGUGACUCCACAGUUACCCAUAAUCCUGUUCUUCUUCUCUCCCCUUCAUUUACAACAAAGUGCUGCAGCAGCUAUCACAUAGAAACAUGAGAAGCUGCUGUGGACUUAAUUUACUCCACUGAUGUUCAUUUUAGCACUCAAAUUAAACGAGCCUUUGUUCAUUUAUAAUACAGAAAGUCGCGUGUUUAGUUGAGGAGAUGCUGAGUGAACACUUAUGCCAUGAAAGCAAAGUUUUUUUCCUUCGCGCUUUCGGCAAGAGCUGCUCAAAAAAGGAAACUUUGGAUUUGUUGGGUUUCUUUGUAUAGUUUGUAAGGUCCACACAUUACUUAGAUUUUAAAGCCGGCAGCUGACGUAGUGUUCACUUGUUGUCAUAGUUACAGUGAUGCCGCGCCGCUAUCUCACAAUCUUACAGAAAUCUUUAACAAAUCCAUGGAUUCAGACUAUAAACCAUGUCACUGCCAAAAUCUAAUCAGGUGGUCCUUGUGUCAUUUCUGACCUUCCCUGAAUAUUUCAUCUAAAUCUUUGAGUAAUAUUGCACACAGACAGACAAACAUACGCUGAUCAUCACAUAACAUUGUUAUAUUAUUACUCUGCCGUAUUCCUUGGCAGAGUAUUAAUGUGGACUGUGUUGCCACACUUUCACUUUACUACACUCUUCUAUGAUCCUGAUCUGCCCUAGUGACUCAUCAGUGUAAGAAUAUUUUUAUCUUAGUUCUAACACUUCAGCAGUAUUCUUGUAAAAUUAAUAUUACCCUUUCUUAGCAGAAAGACAGUCCUGUUUGUGUCAAAACUGGUACAGGAAUGAUAGUGGUGACUUUACCUUUUUUUUGGUAUAUUUCGUGUUACUAGAGGCAUGUUUUGGAGUCAUCAGUAGCCAGAACGAUGCUAACUAACCUGUGAUGUGAAAUGUUUGCGUAUAGAGAGAGAAGUUGGGCUCACAGGACACAGGAUUAGAUUACUACUAACAAAAAUAAGACUUCCAUAAAGCGGGGAGGGGAGGAGAAAUGAAAGUGAAAGUAUUCAGUCUUUCAGGUCAGACAUCAUAUUAGGAGGACAGAGAAGAAGGAUGGAAGCUAAAGGCUGAGGCAGGGUGAGUGUGAAUGCCCUCUUAUUUCACUGUCAGUGCCUCCCCUGUGGAGUGUAGAGAGGAGAGUGUGUCAGUUUGAUUCAUCUGUGGAUACAAAGUUGUGAUGGGUUGAUGAAUGCACAUCCCAAAAAACUGAAUAUAGAGUCAGAGAAAGCUAGAAACCUGAUCUGUUUUUGUGUGUGGUUCUUCUUCUCACUUGUUUGCAACUCAAACAUAUCAGUUCUUCUUGUGUUCUGGGCCCUUUAUAAGCACUUUACCCUGCUGACAGGGAGAAACCUGGUUACAGCACAAAUCAGAUCAGUUGUUUACAUGAACUGCAGUAAUAUAAUACUCAAAAGAAUGAGUAAAUAUGAACUGGUCCCUCAAGUACUCCACUGGGAAUGAUAUGAAAUGAUAUGUUGCUUUUUGUCUUUUCCUCGAGAGGCCUCAAAGGGAAAAUAAUUUGAUCCGUGGCAGCUGUGUGUAGAAAGUCCCUGUAAAAAUAGACCAGCAUUAAACCAGAGUAAUUUGUGAUUCUCUGGUCUCAGCUCUGAUGUCCAACCCCUCCCAUCUGACAGAGCUGGACCUGAGUAGAAACAAGCUGCAGGACUCAGAGGUGAAGCAGCUCUGUGGUUUUGUGUAGAGUCCACAUUGCAGACUGGAAACUUUGAGGUCAGUUAUCUGACUGUUUUUAUCUUGUGGGUUUAAUGAGAAACUGAUGCUGUUCAUGCUGAACUUCCAUCCAUGAAGGAUGUACAUUUCCUGUUGUUCAAAUUUCACGUGUGGUCACAGAAGAUGAGUGUUAGUUGGAGAAACUACAGAAAAUAUCGAGCGUCAGUUGUUAAAGUAAAUACAUGUUUUAAUUUGUGCUAAAAAGUCACAUCUGGAUACAAAAGGUCCUCUGAACUCAGAUUUAUUUUCUGACUGAAUAUCUUUGGUUCUUGUUAAGUUCAGUGGGAUUUCGCUGAUCAUGGCUGAUCACUGAUAUUGAUCCUACAGUCACACGCCCACACACACACACAAGUUAUUGAUCUGUGUUAAUGUGAAUGUUGCGCUAACAUUUAGAUGAUGUGUGUAGAAGGUUGACAUGAUGAUAAUUCACAAUAACAGAAGGACAAAGCCAAUCUGCUCAUUGAUUAGGAAGCAGUAAUGCUGACCUGCACAUUCAAAACCUGAACACACCUGAUUGGAUCAUCAAUGAUUUUGUUCUUUAUUCAGACUGAGCUGCUGUCAGAAAACAGCUGUGGUUCUCAGGUCCAACCCCUCCCAUCCGAAACAUCUGGACCUGAGUAACAACGAGCUGCAGGAUUCAGGAGUGAAACAUUUUUGUGGUUUUCUGGAGAAUCCACACUGCAGACUCUGAGAUGGUAAACAGGAGAGCGUAUGCACUGAGAGGAUGAGCUGUGUCCUGAUGAUCCACAGGUUGAAGCAGCAGCAGCUUGUAUGUAGACAAGCUCUGACUGGUCCAUGGUACUGGGAGGUGGAGGGGAGAGCUUCAUGCAACAGUGGCUGAAAGAGGAAUCAGAAUAAGUAGAGAGUCUCAGAGCUGCCAGUGACAAAGUGGAGUCCAAUAUCAUCUCUGUGUUCGUCUGCAUGCGUUUCUGGAGACACUCAUGCACUCAUGGUCUCUUUUCCAUUCAUGUUCUGAACUCAAAUCGACUGCAGGUUAAUCCUGUUUAUCUCUACAUCCCUGUCAGUUCACACUAAAAUGGCCUUCAGGCUGAACCAAUGUAGUCAUUCAGUACUGUAUUGUUUUGUACUGCAGCUCCAUCCUGUGGAAUUAUGGUGUCCUGCAGUUAAUUCCCACAUUAAAUUAAAAGUUUGAAUGAAAAAGCAACUUACAAGUAACACUGUGUGAAGAUAUAGGCAAUGCUAGCAGUCAUUGUUGUCAAUGACAUACACGUGUCCAAAAAAGCUUGUUGUUGUAUAUUAUAUGGAAAAGAAGUAAGCAGGAUGCUCAUUCACACAUUUAGCUGACACACUCAAUGGUCAUCAUAUUAAGGAAAAAGAUGGCAUGUCUUUAAAGAGCAUUAGUUAAAAUAGCCCAUGUGGUGCUUGUUAUGAACUUGAAGGUUUCAACUAAAAGCUAGAUAGACUCCCAGCUUCACACAUGCUGGACCCAGAAAUUAAUCCUGGUACACCAUGCUAAAGGACAUCUCAAUUCCUUGAAUGCAUAUGGAGGACUGAGGACCAAGGUGCUGCUGGAGGAGCUCUGAGUGAAGAUGCACAAGUGCAUCUUCACUUGCACUGGACAUGCACUGGAAUCCACAAACCAAGACUGGAGCAUAACAGAUUUUUUAUAUUUUUAGCACUCUUUAGCUGAAUAAAAAUUAAAAAUGAAUGAAAACUGUACACUGCCAUCACAUUUGUCCACACUGUGAACUGAAUUAAAAGUAAAUAUAUACUGAA